rfam:Cajanus cajan chromosome 9, whole genome shotgun sequence.
GGUUUACACUUGAUCUCUGAACUUCAGGUAAGUUCUUAUGUUGACAAGUUCAUUCACUGAUGCU